GGAUACCUAUUCGGGUUCGGGUUC
rnacentral:siRNA from 1 species